ACGAACGCUGGCGGCGUGCUUAACACAUGCAAGUCGAACGGAAAGGCCCUGCUUUUGUGGGGUGCUCGAGUGGCGAACGGGUGAGUAACACGUGAGUAACCUGCCCUUGACUUUGGGAUAACUUCAGGAAACUGGGGCUAAUACCGGAUAGGAGCUCCUGCUGCAUGGUGGGGGUUGGAAAGUUUCGGCGGUUGGGGAUGGACUCGCGGCUUAUCAGCUUGUUGGUGGGGUAGUGGCUUACCAAGGCUUUGACGGGUAGCCGGCCUGAGAGGGUGACCGGCCACAUUGGGACUGAGAUACGGCCCAGACUCCUACGGGAGGCAGCAGUGGGGAAUAUUGCACAAUGGGCGGAAGCCUGAUGCAGCAACGCCGCGUGGGGGAUGACGGCCUUCGGGUGGUAAACCGCUUUCGCCUGUGACGAAGCGUGAGUGACGGUAAUGGGUAAAGAAGCACCGGCGAACUACGU
rnacentral:rRNA from 1 species